GACGAACGCUGGCGGCGUGCUUAACACAUGCAAGUCGAACGAAAGGAGGGAAAGAGCUUGCUCUUUCCGGAAUUGAGUGGCAAACGGGUGAGUAACACGUAAACAACCUGCCUUCAGGAUGGGGACAACAGACGGAAACGACUGCUAAUACCGAAUAAGUUCCAAGAGCCGCAUGGCCCAUGGAAGAAAAGGUGGCCUCUACCUGUAAGCUAUCGCCUGAAGAGGGGUUUGCGUCUGAUUAGCUGGUUGGAGGGGUAACGGCCCACCAAGGCGACGAUCAGUAGCCGGUCUGAGAGGAUGAACGGCCACACUGGAACUGAGACACGGUCCAGACUCCUACGGGAGGCAGCAGUGGGGAAUCUUCCGCAAUGGGCGAAAGCCUGACGGAGCAACGCCGCGUGAGUGAUGACGGCCUUCGGGUUGUAAAACUCUGUGAUCCGGGACGAAAAGGCAGAGUGCGAAGAACAAACUGCAUUGACGGUACCGGAAAAGCAAGCCACGGCUAACUACGUG
rnacentral:rRNA from 1 species